rnacentral:lncRNA from 1 species
AUAAGAUAAGGCCCCAAAACCAACUCAUAGUUGUAAACACCCUUACCUCAUUAUGUAAUGAAAUUUCAAACCAGCAUAAUAAAAUGGGGAACCUCCCGCGGGGCCAAACGAUAUCCUUUAUACCACAGCGGUUAAUAUAACAAGGGGAGCCAUAACCGAUACGGUGGAGCACCUUUUCCAACGUCAUAAUAUCCCCCUGCUGCCUGACGAGACCUUUUCCUACUUAAAACAAAUCUAAAUCUCGAACCCCUGGUAUUUCAUUGAGGAGAAAAGACAAAUAGGGACCUCAAAACGCCCUGAGUGGGACGCCCCCUUCGGGCUGAGAUGCUUUCCGGACAUGCUAUUCUUUUUAUUUAUAGAAUAGUUC